GAAAUAUUAGAUAAGGAAUAGUACACGAACUUAUAUUUUGUAUUCCGAAAAUCCUUCACAUUAAUAAAUGAACUGUCAAACACUUGAAAUGAACCCACAUGCUUGUCACGUGACUGCUUAUGGACAACUGGAGUCUUAACAAGGAUAUUAUUUUCGUACUUUUUGCUCAUAUAUAUCCAAGCAAACAAGGGCAUGUAUCCACAAAACAUAACAACAGAGGCUAGACAUCCUAACGUUAAUCUACAAC
rnacentral:lncRNA from 1 species